rnacentral:snRNA from 1 species
AUACUUACCUGACGGAAGAGACACCAUAAUCACGAAGGUGGUUUUCCCAGGACAAGGCUCAUCCAUUGCACUCCAGAUGUGCUGACCUCUGAGAUUUCCCCAAAUGUGGGAAACUAGCCUUUAUAAAUUUUUGUAGUGAAGGAUUGUGUUCAUGCUCUCCCUCA